rnacentral:lncRNA from 1 species
AAGUGAUGUAAGCAUGAGGGAGGCUGGAACUCGCUUGAAAAGGCAUGCAAGGCAAGAUGCAUGUGGACAGAUCACACGCUUCCAGGCAUUAUCUUGCAUGUAGAAAAGUGGGAUGCUCAUUUUGUGCCUCCCUCAGAGGAGAUAUUAUCUGAGCACAUGCAAGUAUCUGGAUAUCACCUUCUGGGCCACAGUGAGGAACUCAAGGAGUUGAAAUGGUUUCUGGAGAAAAAGAAAUGCUCAGAGAGAGAGUGGCUGAGAGCAGACCUUGGGGAGAGGCUGGGCUGCCACAAUUAGACUCAUGCCUCAGGGACCCCAACACUCACUUCAUGAUGCUUUAUAAGUCUCCAGGAUUCCCGUGAAAUACCACCCUCACUGGACCCAUGCACAAACCCACUAACUUCUGGAAACUCCAAAGGAGAGGAGAAGACAAUGUAUAGUGAAAUUUUUCUUUGUCUGGCAAGCCCUAUUUUGAUUUGUGACAUUUUCU